ACACCCGGGGACCUUGUCAGCAAUUGAAGACUGCGAAGGUCACCCGGGUGACCAACGGUCGUAUCACAAUCAGAUACAAUGAGCGACAUCGGGUAGCACCAACGACAGAGCAGAAUAGUGCAUUAGGCCACAACAUUGGGCAUGUUGUGCGGACCUUUUGCCCCAUGCAGACUUUUGCCCUAUGCGGUGGAAGUCUUGAAAGGUGAUGCCGGAGGGGAGAUGAAGAACACGGUGCGCAAUCAUUUGUUGGUAAGUAGUGUCACCUUUUUAAUACUUUUCAUGUAAAAUUUAUAUAUUUAUAUUUAUUACUAUCUUUUAUUACUAAUACUUUCAUAAUAUUUGUUACAUUGCAAACAAAUUAACUACAAUUUGGAGGACAUGUUGGCAUACCUCAAUCGUUUCUUCUUCGAACACUACAAGCAGUGGAAGAGUGACUUGCACCAAUAUUUUGAGCAGUCUGAUGAUCCGUAGGUCUCUCUCGAAGAUGGUUGCCUGAAGGAGUUUGAGGACCGACAAGAUAGUUGGGUUUGGCUCUACGGUCAUUUUCAGGAGCUGGGCUAUGUGAAGAAGGCGAAGGCGAACAAGAUCAAUCGGGAGAAGAAGACUCUUCUCCACCAUUCGGGUUUGAGGCCUUUCUCCUAUAGGAUGGAGGCGCGGCAGAAGGGUUCAAAAUUUCCGGAGAUCGACGUCUUUGCUGACGUUUAUGUUUGAACUAGGGAUGAGUUGACCAAGUCCCUUUAAGCGACUAUGGUGGAGAAGGGUCAGUCGGUGCUUCGGGAGUUCGCCUCCCAGCUUACCUCAAACACGUCGAUUGAGUCUGUGGAUCCCCCUAAGGAUGCGGGGUUUCACAUCCUGACAAAGACGUUGGACUAGACUUUCGCUCAAAAGCCAGGGGCAUAUUGUUGGGGGAUGGGAAAUGCCAGGCGGCAGGAGAGUCGAGCCUCGUCAUCCUAGUAGUUAAAAGCCCAGGUUACGGCCUUGACGUAGGAAGUUGUUGGCCUGAGGAGUGAGCUGGCAUCGUACAAGUCUCAAAUGGCAAUGCUUGUACAAGCCCUUAGUUCCUCCCGAAUACGUCUCCCCGAUUUUUCUGCAUCACUGGCCUCAGAGCCCUUCCACACCAAGCAUGCACAGCAAUCAGGCCCGUCAACCUCCGACCCCAUCCCCAACCACACCCCCUACUAGCAGCAAGAUUACCAAGCUCCUCCGAACGACUUGCCUAUAGAUUAUUUUGCUUUUUUUUUCAUAGUUUUGUU